CUGCAUGUCACAGGACGUGUCUACCUUCAGCCUCAAGGUUAAGGUUUGAGGAUUGCUGGUGAUAGGUUCCGACUGCUGUAGUAUUUCCUCACGAGACUAGACAACCGCCGAUGGCAAAAGUAAGAGUCUGCUCUCUGGCUUCAGGUGGAGAUUGAGUGACUCUAGUCAUGCAUACCUUUGUUACUGAUUGGUGCAAAAUUCUCUCGC